ACUGGAGAGCGAUUACCCAGACCGAAGGGUUUAGGUAAUCCACCGACGGAGCAAAUCAUCACUCAGGUGUGAUGGCUAAACUCUCAGGUAACCGGACAGGGGGA
rnacentral:ncRNA from 1 species